UACGAAGGGGGCUAGCGUUGCUCGGAAUCACUGGGCGUAAAGCGCACGUAGGCGGCUUUCUAAGUCAGUGGUGAAAGCCCGGAGCUCAACUCCGGAACUGCCAUUGAAACUGUAGAACUUGAGGACGAGAGAGGUGAGUGGAAUUCCCAGUGUAGAGGUGAAAUUCGUAGAUAUUGGGAAGAACACCGGUGGCGAAGGCGGCUCACUGGCUCGUUUCUGACGCUCAGGCGCGACAGCGUGGGGAUCAAACAGG
rnacentral:rRNA from 1 species